rnacentral:misc_RNA from 1 species
UUUGAAAAGGAAAAAUGAAAACAACCCUACUGCCACAAACACAAGAAGUAUGAUGACAAUCUUUCUCCCAGUAUUGCUACCAGAAGUAUGGGCAUUGGCCUUUGUGCCAUUUUUGGAACUAGAUGGAUCACCAGAAAUGCCUGAAAUGAAUUGCAGAGAAAUUGAGGCGAAAAAUAAUAUUAAGGAACGCAAACGCAACGAUCUGGUUAUUGAGAUUGAACUCAUCCCUCUCUCCCUUUGUCUCUCAAAGAUCUUCUCUUCAAUAAAUUUUCCCUCGGGGACGGUGGAGAGAACGAUGUCUCCUGCAAGCUGCAACUUGAAGCUAUCGAUUUUUCGAAAAAACAAAAUUAUAUUAUAUACGAUGUUUUUA